GAUGAACGCUAGCGGCAGGCUUAACACAUGCAAGUCGAGGGGCAGCAUAAUGGAUAGCAAUAUCUAUGGUGGCGACCGGCGCACGGGUGCGUAACGCGUAUGCAACCUACCUUUAACAGGGGGAUAACACUGAGAAAUUGGUACUAAUACCCCAUAAUAUCAUAGAAGGCAUCUUUUAUGGUUGAAAAUUCCGAUGGUUAGAGAUGGGCAUGCGUUGUAUUAGCUAGUUGGUGGGGUAACGGCUCACCAAGGCGACGAUACAUAGGGGGACUGAGAGGUUAACCCCCCACACGGGGACUGGGACACGGACCAGACUCCUACGGGAGGCAGCAGUGAGGAAUAUUGAUCAAUGGACGCAAGUCUGAACCAGCCAUGCCGCGUGCAGGAUGACGGCUCUAGGAGUUGUAAACUGCUUUUGUACGAGGGUAAACGCAGAUACGUGUAUCUGUCUGAAAGUAUCGGACGAAUAAGGAUCGGCUAACUCCGUG
rnacentral:rRNA from 1 species